UCCUUGGUGGUCAAGCGGUUAAGACUUUGCUUUCCAAUGCAGGGGUGCAGGUUUCAUUCCUGGCCAGGGAG
rnacentral:tRNA from 1 species